rnacentral:rRNA from 1 species
CCUACGGGUGGCAGCAGUGAGGAAUAUUGGUCAAUGGGCGCGAGCCUGAACCAGCCAAGUCGCGUGAGGGAAGACGGUCCUAUGGAUUGUAAACCUCUUUUGUCGGGGAGCAAAAGACGCCACGCGUGGCGUUCCGAGAGUACCCGAAGAAAAAGCAUCGGCUAACUCCGUGCCAGCCGCCGCGGUAAUACGGAGGAUGCGAGCGUUAUCCGGAUUUAUUGGGUUUAAAGGGUGCGUAGGCGGAAUAUCAAGUCAGCGGUAAAAAUUCGGGGGCCAACCCCGGCGUGCCGUUGAAACUGAUGGUCUUGAGUGGGCGAGAAGUAUGCGGAAUGCGUGGUGGAGCGGUGAAAUGCAUAGAUA